rnacentral:rRNA from 1 species
GACGAACGCUGGCGGCGUGCUUAACCCAUGCAAGUCGAACGGGAAGGCCCUGCUUUUGUGGGGUGCUCGAGUGGCGAACGGGUGAGUAACACGUGAGUAGCCUGCCCUGGACUUUGGGAUAACUUCAGGAAACUGGGGCUAAUACCGGAUAGGAGCUCCUGCUGCAUGGUGGGGGUUGGAAAGUUUCGGCGGUUGGGGAUGGACUCGCGGCUUAUCAGCUUGUUGGUGGGGUAGUGGCUUACCAAGGCUUUGACGGGUAGCCGGCCUGAGAGGGUGACCGGCCACAUUGGGACUGAGAUACGGCCCAGACUCCUACGGGAGGCAGCAGUGGGGAACAUUGCACAAUGGGCGGAAGCCUGAUGCAGCAACGCCGCGUGCGGGAUGACGGCCUUCGGGUUGUAAACCGCUUUCGCCAGUGACGAAGCGUGAGUGACGGUAAUGGGUAAAGAAGCACCGGCUAACUACGUG